rnacentral:rRNA from 1 species
GAUCCUGGCUCAGAUUGAACGCUGGCGGCAUGCCUUACACAUGCAAGUCGAACGGUAACAGGGAGCUUGCUCCGCUGACGAGUGGCGAACGGGUGAGUAAUAUAUCGGAACGUGCCCUAGAGUGGGGGAUAACUAGUCGAAAGAUUAGCUAAUACCGCAUACGAUCUAAGGAUGAAAUGGGGGUCGCAAGACCUCAUGCUCGUGGAGCGGCCGAUAUCUGAUUAGCUAGUUGGUAGGGUAAAAGCCUACCAAGGCAUCGAUCAGUAGCUGGUCUGAGAGGACGACCAGCCACACUGGGACUGAGACACGGCCCAGACUCCUACGGGAGGCAGCAGUGGGAAUUUGGACAAUGGCGCAAGCCUGAUCCAGCAAUGCCGCGUGAGUGAAGAAGGCCUUCGGGUUGUAAAGCUCUUUUGUCAGGGAAGAAACGGGUUGAGCUAAUAUCUUGGCCUAAUGACGGUACCUGAAGAAUAAGCACCGGCUAACUACGUG